UACGUAGGUGGCAAGCGUUGUUCGGAAUUAUUGGGCGUAAAGGGCGCGUAGGCGGUUUGUUAAGUCGGCUGUGAAAGCCCGGGGCUCAACCCCGGAGGGUCAGCCGAUACUGGCAGACUAGAGUACGGAAGAGGUAGCUGGAAUUCCCGGUGUAGCGGUGAAAUGCGUAGAUAUCAGGAGGAACACCGGUGGCGAAGGCGCUCAUCUGGCCCAAUACUGACGCUGAGGCGCGAAAGCUAGGGGAGCGAACAGG
rnacentral:rRNA from 1 species